rnacentral:rRNA from 1 species
GAUGAACGCUGGCGGCGUGCUUAACACAUGCAAGUCGAACGAAGCAUUUAAGACAGAUUACUUCGGUUUGAAGUCUUUUAUGACUGAGUGGCGGACGGGUGAGUAACGCGUGGGUAACCUGCCUCAUACAGGGGGAUAGCAGCUGGAAACGGCUGGUAAUACCGCAUAAGCGCACAGUACCACAUGGUACAGUGUGAAAAACUCCGGUGGUAUGAGAUGGACCCGCGUCUGAUUAGCUUGUUGGCGGGGUAACGGCCCACCAAGGCGACGAUCAGUAGCCGACCUGAGAGGGUGACCGGCUACAUUGGGACUGAGACACGGCCCAGACUCCUACGGGAGGCAGCAGUGGGGAAUAUUGCACAAUGGAGGAAACUCUGAUGCAGCGACGCCGCGUGAGUGAAGAAGUAGUUCGCUAUGUAAAGCUCUAUCAGCAGGGAAGAUAGUGACGGUACCUGACUAAGAAGCUCCGGCUAAAUACGUG